rnacentral:rRNA from 1 species
GUAGGGUGCGAGCGUUAAUCGGAAUUACUGGGCGUAAAGCGUGCGCAGGUGGGUUUUGUAAGUCAGAUGUGAAAUCCCCGGGGCUUAACCUGGGAACUGCGUUUGAAACUGCAAGGCUAGAGUGUGGCAGAGGGGGGUGGAAUUCCGCGUGUAGCAGUGAAAUGCGUAGAGAUGUGGAGGAACACCGAUGGCGAAGGCAGCCCCCUGGGUCAACACUGACGCUCAGGCACGAAAGCAUGGGGAGCAAACAGGAUUAGAUACCCUGGUAGUCCAUGCCCUAAACGAUGUCAACUAGUUGUCGGGUCUUAACGGGCUUGGUAACGUAGCUAACGCGUGAAGUUGACCGCCUGGGGAGUACGAUCGCAAGAUUA